AUAAGCUAAUAGGAUCGAAAAAAUAUCAUUGAUUAAAUUCUUAGCUUAUAUAAUUCUUAAUUCUUAUUUUGCAAUUCAGUUGGACCCCAAAAAUUAUUUCUAAAAUAAUUUCACAAAUAAAUAUUUCAUUUAUAAUAAUAAUAAAAUACAAUGAAAACAAUAUUUUUAUUAUUUGAUAAUUUCUUAAAUAAGAAAGAGUAUGCGAUACCUAAUUUCGUUUAGGAUUUUGCAAUAAAAAAAUAGCAGGUAAUUAAAAUACAAAUAAUUAAGAGCAUGGCAACUCCUAGAUUCGGGAAUUUAGAAACAAAAGUAGUUGCAAGGAUAAUAAAAGACACAUGAUUCUGGCCAGACACAAAACUAACGAACUUUCAGCCCGCACACAAAUUUCCUUAAAAAAAGAACAAGAUAAAUCAUAAAACAUCACCAUCAGCAAAAAAGUACGAACCCUAAAACCAAAAAGGAGACGGCAAUCAAAACCCAGAAACCGAGACCAGAAGCUGCGGAAUCAGAAUCAAGCAAAGAUCGGCAAAAUAAGAAUCUUGGAAUUGAAGAUGGGAAAAGAAAUGGUCUUCCCAUUUCACUAACAAUAUUCUUAACCCCAAAAAAAGUCCAAGAGAAAAAAAAACGAAAGAGAAAAGAAUGCAAACGCGGAAAAAAGAAUACUUAAUCCAGCAAAUAAGACACUUAUCAAUCCGAUAUAAACUAUAGAUCGAACUGGGCCCGAAAUUUCAGAUGGGGCGAGCACUCCAACAACUGAAACACUUUCGAACACGGUUAAAGUUAGACAGAAUUUAACCACUUCUCCCUCACGUUUUUUUCAAUAAUUCAAGAAAAUAGUUAAUGAAAUGGCCGAUUUAAACCAGGAACAAGUGAUCAAAGUAAUCAAAACUGAGGAACGAGGGCGAUAGGGUUCCACGAUAGAGGAAUCAGUACUCCUUUGGUUUUGAACAUAUGUAGUGUUGAUAUGGUUUCUCCAUAACUGAUUAAUAUGCUUCAGAUUUCUGUUCCUAUCCCCUUAUUUUUUU
rnacentral:lncRNA from 1 species